GGAAGAGGAGGCAGAGCUGCUGGCUGGAUCUCUGGAACUCCUGGAGACUGUGCAACUGCUUCACGUGGAGGCCUGAUCGUUGCUGGACUGCCCAGUUCCUCAGAUGUUUCGUUACCCAAGCUGAGUAACCUCACCAGUGCUAGUCCCUAAAAUCAGUGGUCGUAUAUUCAGCUGGUUCUAUCCGGUUUGGGUAAACCGGUAGCAGCGGCUGUGAGAGGCUCCACCCACCCGCCCGGACUUCAUCACGUCCCAUUUUUGAUGUUCUGCACAUGCGCGGAGGUGGCAUGUGCUCACAUUUGCAAACCUGUAAUGAAGGAUGCUGCAGGAGGCCGUCGAAGCUGAAAACAGGUUGCGGGGGGUGCCUCACCCCCUCUUUUGACCAGCAGGGUGCUACAAGAGGCCGUCCAGCCAAAAACAGGCGGGGGGGGCCCCACACCUCCAGUUUUGACCAGCAAGAUGUUGCAAGUGGCCGUCCAGGCCAAAAACGGGCUUAGGAAGGCUGCCGGUGACCCCUGUGCCCUGUUUUGGCCGGCAGGGUGCUGCAGGAGGCUGUCCAGGCCGAAAACAGGCUGGGGGCUGCGGUUGACCCCCCCAACCCUCGUUUUGGCCAGCAGGGUGCUGCAGGAACCGUCCAUCCCAUCUGCCGUCCAUGCCAUCUCCCCACCCCCACCUCGGCCAUCCUACAGAGGACAACUACAAUGCUGAUCUGGCCCUCAAAGAAAUCCAGUUUGACACCCCUCUUCUGUACUGUUCUCUGAUUUACCUCACAAUUUACCUCAUGAUGUACUAAUGUGCCUGACUAUCUUGUUUGCUGUAAAUACAAAUGUAACAUAUAUUUAUUUAUAUAAAGCUACAAGUUUGUGUCAGCUUCAUUUGGACACCGGCUGUGCAAUUCCGUGACAAAGUACCCUGCCCCCCACUUGGCCAGCGACAGGCACACAAGAUGCACAACUCGGAACUGCACAAAAGCCCUGCUAGCCAAAGCAACUUCCUCCUCUAGCAGGAGCCACAGGUCCAGGAAGGAUCCCCAGAUGGUGCGCCAAGUCUGUUUGGGGCAGUGCCACCACCCCAUCCAGAUGGUGCCACUCAGUCUUCCUUGAUUGUGAAGCGAAGCCUGCUGCUCCCCAUCUAGGCCUCUGCAAAUAAAUCGCGGUUUAGUGCAAAUGCGGUCGGAGGAAGUCACCAUUGUUUUUUGCAAAAUGAUUUUUUGACGAAUUCUCAUUCAGAUUAGGCUGAAAGUGCAGAAGUGGGACAGGAGAUCAGUGGGCUGUGGCAGAAUAGGAUGAGGUUGUCACAGGCACACAACAAACCAAUCGUGUUUUGUCCGCUAACAGAGAUCUGAAAUAAUACCGGAAAAAUAAUUCUACCAAAGCAGCAGGAAAGGAAACAUGAGUUAUGUCUGUAUAUCUCUGCAGGCAGAACUCCAGAUAGAGUGGAGCGUCUGACAACAAAGAGAUUUCACAGUUAAAAUGUUCAACAUAUGCAUAUUUAAACCACGAUUAUAAAAUUAUCUUUACAUUAUGCUUACAAUCAUUCUCUUUUUUUUCCUAGUAUCUAGUUUCUUGCUGUAAAGAAAAUACGAAGCUUGUUUCUGUUAU